rnacentral:rRNA from 1 species
GACGAACGCUGGCGGCGUGCUUAACACAUGCAAGUCGAACGGAAAGGCCCUGCUGUUGUGGGGUGCUCGAGUGGCGAACGGGUGAGUAACACGUGAGUAACCUGCCCUUGACUUUGGGAUAACUUCAGGAAACUGGGGCUAAUACCGGAUAGGAGCUCCUGCUGCAUGGUGGGGGUUGGAAAGUUUCGGCGGUUGGGGAUGGACUCGCGGCUUAUCAGGUUGUGGGUGGGGUAGUGGCUUACCAAGGCUUUGACGGGUAGCCGGCCUGAGAGGUUGAACGGCCACAUUGGGACUGAGGUACGGACCAGACUCCUACGGGAGGCAGCAGGGGGGAACAUUGCACAAUGGGCGGAAGCCUGAUGCAGAAACGCCGCGUGUGUGAUGACGGCCUUUGGGGUGUAAACCGCUUUCGCCUGUGACGAAGCGUGAGUGACGGUAAUGGGUAAAGAAGCACCGGCUAACUACGUG